rnacentral:lncRNA from 1 species
UGGAAGUAUUGGACUCCAGCACCAAUAUGUGCACAUCCUCUUCUGGGAGCUGGGGGUCAGAACUGGAGGAGGGCAGAUGUUGGUAGAAGUGGUUUUCCUCUAUUUGUUUCUUAUUUUUCCACCCAUUCCACUCUUUUGUUCCCCAUCCCCAGCCUUACCUUGUUGGGAUCCUUCUCCUCUGGUGUGCUGGGGGUUCUGGUGCUGCUUUGUGCUCUGAGAAAUGGUUCAGUCGUUCUCCCUCUGCAGGCGUGGAAACCUUGUGCUUCAGUAUUGGUGUUUGCACAGACUGCUGUGGGGUGGACAGUUAGGAUGGGGGGGAUAGAAGAAAGGACUGAAGGAGGGGCUCGGGAGGAUUAGAAAGGUGGGAGAAAAAGGAGAGAGAAAGGGGAGUGGAAAGUGGAAAUAAGGCAAGAUGGAGGAGCAAGAGAAGCAGGAAGGAGUUCAGUGCAGUUUGACAUGUGAAGACAUGCGAGAAG